rnacentral:tRNA from 1 species
CAGCGUGUAGCUAAACGCAUAGCAGUGGCCUUUUUAGCCAUUGGUUGAGCGUUCGAGACCGCUCCGCGCUUA